rnacentral:lncRNA from 1 species
GAAUUAAGCAAAAUUAAAGCUUUAUAGGUUUCUGACACUGUCUCUUCACAGUUAACUAUGUUUUGGAUAAGUUUGUAAAAAAUGUCUAAAUUAUCAUCAAGAUCCUUUGAAUAAUCCCUUUUAAAGUUGAAAAAAUGCUCAAGUAAAGCUUGUUUGGAGUAGAUUUGUGCAAAUACAAGUCUUCUAAUUUUGUCCAAUGUUCUUUUGCGGUUUUCAAUUUUCCCAUUUCUCUCAAAGCAGCGUCAGACAAGUGUAAAAUGAUUGAAG